AACGAACGCUGGCGGCAUGCCUAACACAUGCAAGUCGAACGAACCCUUCGGGGUUAGUGGCGCACGGGUGCGUAACACGUGGGAAUCUGCCCUUUGCUUCGGAAUAACAGUUAGAAAUGACUGCUAAUACCGGAUAAUGUCUUCGGACCAAAGAUUUAUCGGCAAAGGAUGAGCCCGCGUAGGAUUAGCUUGUUGGUGAGGUAAAGGCUCACCAAGGCGACGAUCCUUAGCUGGUCUGAGAGGAUGAUCAGCCACACUGGGACUGAGACACGGCCCAGACUCCUACGGGAGGCAGCAGUGGGGAAUAUUGGACAAUGGGCGAAAGCCUGAUCCAGCAAUGCCGCGUGAGUGAGGAAGGCCUUCGGGUCGUAAAGCUCUGUCAGAUGGGAAGAAAUGGAUGGGGGCUAAUAUCGCCCAUCCUUGACGGUACCAUCAGAGGAAGCACCGGCUAACUCCGUG
rnacentral:rRNA from 1 species